rnacentral:sRNA from 1 species
AAAAGAGAGAAACAAAC